GGAUGUGAGGGCGAUCUGGCUGCGACAUCUGUCACCCCAUUGAUCGCCAGGGUUGAUUCGGCUGAUCUGGCUGGGUAGGCGGGUGUCCCCUUCCUCCCUCACCGCUCCAUGUGCGUCCCUCCCGAAGCUGCCCGCUCGGUGGAAGAGGACGACCAUCCCUGAUAGAGGAGGACCGGUCUUCGGUCAAGGGUAUAGGAGUAGCUGCGCUCCCCUGCUAGAACCUCCAAACAAGCUCUCAAGAGUCUCACUGAUUUUCCUGCCUGGGCUGGCUUUGAGCCAUGAUCCUCAGAGCUCAGCAUCCUGAGUAGCUAGGAUUACAG
ensembl:misc_RNA 7SK 7SK RNA